GUCCAAAAUUUUUCCAUUUCCCGCAAUUUAUUUGGUUCGCCGCUCAAAUCCCUAUCUCAAAACCCCAUCUCUCUCAAAUCCUCUCUCCGCUUCUCCCUCUUCCAUUCGCCGCCGCCCUCCCACCUCAGCGACGGACCCCUCCUCCUUCCCAGAUCCGUGCCGCCCGAACCCCCAGCGCCGCCUCCCCACGCCGCCGUCGCCACCUCCAGCCUCAUCACCACCCACCGCCGCUCCUCCUCCCUCCUCUCCGCCGCUGCCACCUCAGCCUCAACCCUCCGCCUCUCUCCUCUUCGCCACCACCCCGCCGUCCAGGUCCCCUUACGCCGUCAGCAACCCCUAAUUUCGCCGGUGAUAAGGCCCAGUUGAGCUUGCAGCUGUUGGUGUGUCUAUUGCAGUAUUCAACCAAGUAUCAAGGAUUGCAAUAUUUCCACUUGUUAGCGUCACAACCUCCUUCAUUGCUGAGGACGAUGCUACUUCAAAAAUGGCUACUGAGUUUGAAAGUGGAGAUUCAGAAAGGUGUCCUUCUGAAAACAGUGAAUUAAAAGAAUUAAUUCCGACGAAUGAUUCCUUUUGGGGGAACUGGCAAAAGUGGAUCCAUCCACUAUGAACAAUGACCAGAAGCUGGCAUUUUGGAUCAAUUUGUAUAAUUCAUUGAUAAUGCAUGCCUACCUAGCAUAUGGAGUUCCAAGAAAUGGCAUCAAGUUCUUUGCUCUAAUGCAAAAGGUAUCUUAUACUAUAAGAGGUCAAUCAUUCAGUCCAGCCGACAUUGAAUUUGUCAUUCUAAAGAUGAAACCUCCACCCCAUCGUCCACAAAUAGCUUUGGCUUUGGCUAUUCAUACCUUUAAAAUAUCAGAGGAGCACAGAAUAUACUCAAUUGACGCCCCCAGAGCCACUUUUAGUGUUUGCCCUCAGCUCCGGGAUGUUUUCCUCUCCACAGAGAGCACAUGAACAAUUAAAACUAUUCCCAAUUGUUUUUUAGUGAGGCUGCUAGUGUGAUCUGGUUAUCUGAACACUAGAAGGCUAGCCGCCAGAGCCUAAAUAAAGAUAAAUGGUGAAAAGGAUUAGAGCAGAAACCCAUAAGUUUUUGGAUAACUGCUUUGUUGUUAGUGUUGUCGCGGCCGCCGCCAUUAUAGGAUCAACAUUCAAAUGCUAAAGAAUCUGACAUGGCAUCCAGGAAAUAAUCAAAGAACUGAUGGAAAGGCUACCACACAUGAAAGAGCUUAUGGAUAUGUAUUGUGGCCCUGAUAGAGUGACUGCAAAGCAACAAAUGCAGGAGUUAGACAGAGUCGCAAAAACUCUACCAGAGAAUAUACCUUCAUCUGUGAAGAGGUUCACUGAUCGUGCCGUUCUUUCACUUCAAGUUUUCUUUUUUUUUCAACAUAGUUUAGUUUACUGUAAAUCUUAUAAUGUGUCAUUCUCUGAAAUGGAAAACACUGAAUAUGACAAACUAGAAUAUUUAAACAGGCCUUUGAGUGUUGACUUGGAAAUGGAAAUGAAUGUAAUUAUUUUGCAAUUGGAGCAAAUUCCUUGUUUAUCAUAAUAUGCAACUUGUUUGGAGUAUAAUUUGAUGUUUGGUUUCUUUGUUGA